AUGCUUAAGGCGAAUAAACAUGCAUUGAGGGAAAAAAAGGUACAUUAAGCUACGCACUUCAUGCAACAUGUUUAUAUUUCUGUCCAACAAUAUGAAGCGAUUUGACAUUCAAAGACGACAGUUGUAGGCUACAUUAUGCUAGAGUGGUUUCUAGCCAAUCUGCCUCGCUAACGUCGUAUUAAUUAAUCAGUCUUUCAAAACAGUGUUCGACAGCGUCAUCAGGUGCAAAGGCUAAGCUAACAUUUUUAAUGACUUUUUUCAACUGGUCAUUUCCCCAACACCUUUGAGUGAAUCAUGCUGAAGGAAUGUAAUUGUUCUACAGGAAACUGUAAAUCAGCUUAUCAACAAACUUUGCAUGGAGAAAUUAACUAAUUUGUUUGCAGCCAACAAGCAGCAAUACACGAAGUUAUUGCGUAGGGGACUUGGCUCCCAAAACCACAUUUCCAGUAGCUUUAUUUGUUUGUACAUUUUUGGGAAUUUUACAUUCACUUUCCAAAUGCUCUCUCCUAUCCCAUAAAUCAAUUUGGUUUCAUUUUGACAAGACAAAUAGACUAAAUAGCCCCUGGAAAAUCCCGCCAGAGACUAUUAAACAGAACUGACGGAAGAGUCGCCGGUGCGUGGUGGAGAAGCAACGUGUCUUGAUGGCUCUACUCUCAAGUAGAUCCACCUGUGCCUCCUUCACGUGAGCCUCGUCUUCCCCCUUCUCAGCCAUAUGCUGGUGAACCUGCAAUUUGGAUGGGCUAAUUGACCCAGCUGGCCGUGUGGAUUCUCAUCU